rnacentral:rRNA from 1 species
AGAGUUUGAUCAUGGCUCAGAUUGAACGCUGGCGGCAGGCCUAACACAUGCAAGUCGAGCGGUAGCACAGAGAGCUUGCUCUCGGGUGACGAGCGGCGGACGGGUGAGUAAUGUCUGGGAAACUGCCUGAUGGAGGGGGAUAACUACUGGAAACGGUAGCUAAUACCGCAUAAUGUCGCAAGACCAAAGUGGGGGACCUUCGGGCCUCAUGCCAUCAGAUGUGCCCAGAUGGGAUUAGCUAGUAGGUGGGGUAACGGCUCACCUAGGCGACGAUCCCUAGCUGGUCUGAGAGGAUGACCAGCCACACUGGAACUGAGACACGGUCCAGACUCCUACGGGAGGCAGCAGUGGGGAAUAUUGCACAAUGGGCGCAAGCCUGAUGCAGCCAUGCCGCGUGUGUGAAGAAGGCCUUCGGGUUGUAAAGCACUUUCAGCGGGGAGGAAGGCGAUAAGGUUAAUAACCUUGUCGAUUGACGUUACCCGCAGAAGAAGCACCGGCUAACUCCGUGCCAGCAGCCGCGGUAAUACGGAGGGUGCAAGCGUUAAUCGGAAUUACUGGGCGUAAAGCGCACGCAGGCGGUCUGUCAAGUCGGAUGUGAAAUCCCCGGGCUCAACCUGGGAACUGCAUUCGAAACUGGCAGGCUAGAGUCUUGUAGAGGGGGGUAGAAUUCUAGGUGUAGCGGUGAAAUGCGUAGAGAUCUGGAGGAAUACCGGUGGCGAAGGCGGCCCCCUGGACAAAGACUGACGCUCAGGUGCGAAAGCGUGGGGAGCAAACAGGAUUAGAUACCCUGGUAGUCCACGCCGUAAACGAUGUCGAUUUGGAGGUUGUGCCCUUGAGGCGUGGCUUCCGGAGCUAACGCGUUAAAUCGACCGCCUGGGGAGUACGGCCGCAAGGUUAAAACUCAAAUGAAUUGACGGGGGCCCGCACAAGCGGUGGAGCAUGUGGUUUAAUUCGAUGCAACGCGAAGAACCUUACCUGGUCUUGACAUCCACAGAACUUUCCAGAGAUGGAUUGGUGCCUUCGGGAACUGUGAGACAGGUGCUGCAUGGCUGUCGUCAGCUCGUGUUGUGAAAUGUUGGGUUAAGUCCCGCAACGAGCGCAACCCUUAUCCUUUGUUGCCAGCGGUUAGGCCGGGAACUCAAAGGAGACUGCCAGUGAUAAACUGGAGGAAGGUGGGGAUGACGUCAAGUCAUCAUGGCCCUUACGACCAGGGCUACACACGUGCUACAAUGGCAUAUACAAAGAGAAGCGACCUCGCGAGAGCAAGCGGACCUCAUAAAGUAUGUCGUAGUCCGGAUUGGAGUCUGCAACUCGACUCCAUGAAGUCGGAAUCGCUAGUAAUCGUAGAUCAGAAUGCUACGGUGAAUACGUUCCCGGGCCUUGUACACACCGCCCGUCACACCAUGGGAGUGGGUUGCAAAAGAAGUAGGUAGCUUAACCUUCGGGAGGGCGCUUACCACUUUGUGAUUCAUGACUGGGGUGAAGUCGUAACAAGGUAACCGUAGGGGAACCUGCGGUUG